AUCUAUGGCCAUACCACCCUGAAUGAGCUCCAAUUUCAUCUAUCUUGGAAGCUAAGCAGGGUUGGGUUGGUUAGGAGGGUACAUCCAUUAAGUACCUGGAUG
rnacentral:rRNA from 1 species